rnacentral:piRNA from 1 species
UCAAUAAAUAGAGGCUAGCAU